rnacentral:misc_RNA from 1 species
CGGGGUURUUUCRGRUUUCGUAAUUGGAAUGAGYACAAUUUAAAUCUCUYARYGAGGAACAAUUGGAGGGCAAGUCUGGUGCCAGCAGCCGCGGUAAUUCCAGCUCCAAUAGCGUAUAUUAAAGUYGUUGCAGUUAAAAAGCUCGUAGUUGAAUUUCGGGAUCAAUAUAUUGGUCGUGCCUUCGGUAUGCACUGGYAUCAUUGAUUUCUCCCUUCUGACGAACCGUGAUGUCAUUAAUUKGGUGUCAURGGGAAUCAGGACUGUUACUUUGAAAAAAUUAGAGUGUUUAAAGCAGGCACACGCUUGAAUACAUUAGCAUGGAAUAAUGAAAUAGGACGUUUGACCCUAUUUUGUUGGUUUCUAGGAUCGACGUAAUGAUUAAUAGGGAUAGUUGGGGGCAUUAGUAUUCAAUUGUCAGAGGUGAAAUUCUUGGAUUUAUUGAAGACUAACUACUGCGAAAGCAUUUGCCAAGGAUGUUUUCAUUAAUCAAGAACGAAAGUUAGGGGAUCGAAGACGAUCAGAUACCGUCGUAGUCUUAACCAUAAACUA